GCUCUUCCAAGAUGGCGGCGCGUCCGUCGCGAGCGACCGGGCCGAGGGGAGGCCAGCGAAGCCGAGUAAAACCGCCGCCCGGGAGAAGACUGAAGGAGCAGUUGCCGCCGUUGGCGGCGGCCCGAGCAGUUUUCGCUGCUGCUACGGCUGUUGCCAUGAGGCGAGGCUAGGGAGGACCUCACUUCCCCGGGGUGUAAUAAUGUUAACUGAGGCCAGUCUAUCCAUAUGGGGAUGGGGAAGCCUUGGCAUUGUCCUUUUUCUGAUAACCUUUGGACCCUUUGUAAUAUUUUAUUUGACAUUUUAUAUCCUCUGCUUUGUGGGUGGGGGUUUAGUGGUUACUCUCCUGUUUGGAAAAACAAACUCAGAGAAGUACCUAGAACAGUGUGAACACUCAUUUCUUCCUCCAACAUCACCUGGGGUUCCUAAGUGCUUAGAAGAAAUGAAACGGGAAGCCAGGACUAUUAAGAUUGAUAGAAGAUUGACGGGUGCCAAUAUAAUUGAUGAACCUCUCCAGCAAGUUAUCCAGUUUUCCUUGAGGGAUUAUGUCCAGUAUUGGUAUUAUACACUAAGCGAUGAUGAAUCUUUUCUUCUUGAAAUUAGGCAGACUCUUCAAAACGCACUCAUUCAGUUUGCUACUAGGUCAAAAGAAAUAGACUGGCAACCUUAUUUUACUACACGCAUUGUAGAUGACUUUGGCACACACUUACGAGUAUUCAGAAAGGCUCAACAGAAAAUAACAGAGAAAGAUGAUCAAGUGAAAGGUACAGCAGAAGAUCUUGUAGAUACCUUCUUUGAAGUUGAAGUUGAAAUGGAGAAGGAGGUUUGCCGUGAUCUAGUGUGCACUUCCCCCAAAGAUGAAGAAGGAUUCCUAAGGGAUUUGUGUGAGGUCUUACUAUAUUUAUUGCUACCUCCUGGAGAUUUCCAGAACAAGAUCAUGCGAUACUUUGUCAGGGAAAUCCUUGCACGAGGAAUUCUUCUUCCAUUAAUAAAUCAACUCAGUGAUCCUGAUUAUAUUAAUCAGUAUGUCAUAUGGAUGAUCCGUGAUUCUAACUGCAACUAUGAGGCCUUUAUGAACAUUAUUAAAUUGAGUGACAAUAUUGGAGAGCUAGAAGCAGUCAGAGAUAAGGCAGCAGAAGAAUUACAGUAUCUUAGAUCUCUAGAUACAGCUGGUGAUGAUAUCAACACUAUCAAAAAUCAAAUAAAUAGCUUACUAUUCGUAAAGAAGGUAUGUGACUCAAGAAUACAGCGAUUGCAGUCAGGCAAAGAAAUAAAUACUGUGAAACUUGCAGCAAACUUUGGGAAACUUUGCACAGUCCCCCUGGACAGCAUUCUUGUAGACAAUGUUGCACUACAAUUUUUUAUGGAUUACAUGCAGCAAACUGGAGGUCAAGCACAUCUAUUCUUUUGGAUGACAGUGGAAGGAUACCGGGUUACCGCCCAACAGCAGCUAGAAGUUUUAUUAAGUCGUCAGAGAGAUGGAAAACAUCAAACCAACCAAACCAAAGGUCUUUUAAGAGCAGCUGCUGUUGGAAUUUAUGAACAGUAUUUAUCAGAAAAGGCAUCUCCAAGAGUUACUGUUGAUGACUAUUUAGUAGCAAAAUUAGCAGAUACUUUGAAUCAUGAAGAUCCAACCCCUGAAAUCUUUGAUGACAUUCAAAGAAAGGUAUAUGAAUUGAUGCUACGAGAUGAAAGAUUUUAUCCUUCCUUCAGACAGAAUGCACUUUAUGUGCGCAUGUUAGCUGAGCUUGACAUGUUAAAAGAUCCUAGUUUCAGAGGAUCCGAUGAUGGGGAUGGAGAAUCUUUUAAUGGGUCUCCUACAGGAAGCAUAAAUUUGUCUUUAGAUGACCUUUCAAAUGUUUCUUCUGAUGACUCAGUACAACUUCAUGCCUACAUUUCAGACACAGGCGUUUGUAAUGAUCAUGGCAAGACAUAUGCAUUAUAUGCCAUCACUGUACACCGGCGCAACCUAAACAGUGAGGAGAUGUGGAAAACCUAUCGUCGUUAUAGUGACUUCCAUGACUUCCACAUGAGAAUCACUGAACAGUUUGAAAGUCUCUCAAGCAUAUUGAAACUUCCUGGAAAAAAGACUUUUAAUAAUAUGGAUAGAGAUUUUUUAGAAAAGAGAAAAAAGGAUCUAAAUGCAUAUUUGCAGUUACUGUUAGCUCCUGAAAUGAUGAAGGCAUCCCCCGCUUUAGCUCACUAUGUGUAUGAUUUCCUUGAGAACAAAGCCUACAGUAAAGGAAAAGGGGAUUUUGCUCGCAAGAGAUGGGGUCUCACUGUGUUGCCCAGGCUGGUCUCAAACUCCUGGAUUCAAGUGAUCCUCCUGCUACAGCCUGCCGAAGUGCUGCAAUUAUAGGCAUGAGCUACUGUGCCCAGCUGAAAAUACGUUUUUAAGACACACUGAAGACAACAUUUCUGUACUUUUAAAAUGUAACGACAUAAUAUAGACCAGAAAAUUACUGCAUCUUUCCAGUGUUGCACUCUAUAUUUUCCAAGGCUUGUCAUUUGGAUAACAACUCUGGUACAAUAAAGUCAUGGUAUAAUAUCUUUUUUCCCUUUAGAUGGACACUUUUGUAAAUCCACUUCGCAAUUCAAUGAGGAAUGUUUCAAAUGCAGUUAAAUCCCUUCCUGAUAGCUUGGCAGAGGGAAUGACUAAAAUGUCAGACAACAUGGGCAAAAUGUCAGAAAGAUUAGGUCAAGACAUAAAGCAAUCAUUUUUUAAGGUGCCUCCUUUAAUUCCUAAGACUGAUUCAGACCCUGAACAUCGCCGAGUUUCGGCUCAACUUGACGAUAAUGUGGAUGACAAUAUUCCACUUAGGGUAAUGCUGCUUCUCAUGGAUGAAGUAUUCGACUUAAAAGAAAGAAAUCAGUGGUUGCGAAGGAAUAUCAAAAACCUACUUCAACAGCUUAUUAGAGCUACAUAUGGCGAUACUAUUAAUAGAAAAAUAGUUGACCAUGUUGACUGGAUGACUUCACCUGAACAAGUAGCCGACUCAGUGAAACGUUUCAGAGAUGCAUUUUGGCCAAAUGGCAUUUUAGCAGAGGCUGUUCCAUGCAGAGAUAAAAGUAUUCGAAUGAGAACAAGAGUAGCAGGAAAAACGAAAUUACUUGCAAUUAUGCCAGAUGAGCUGAAGCACAUUAUUGGGGCUGAGACAACACGGAAAGGUAUUCUUCGUGUUUUUGAAAUGUUUCAGCACAACCAAUUAAAUAGGAGAAUGGUUUAUGUCUUCUUGGAAGGCUUUUUAGAAACCUUAUUUCCACAGUAUAAAUUCCGUGAACUUUUCAACAAACUGCAUUCACGGUCAAAGCAGAUGCAGAAAUAUAAACAGAAACUUCAAACUACUCAAGCGCCUUCUUUGCAGAAAAGGUGACACUCCACUCUAUGAAGCUGGUGUUCAUUUUGUCCAGGACUAAUGGUAUGGACAGAUCUUCUGGGGCUUAACUCAAAUACUGUUGUGUCUGCACCAGUCUUUUAGUGUCUCAAAAUAGAUUAUUAAUACAUCCAUAAGUCUGUGGUUCUUCUCAUUCUCAUCUAUAAUCCACCACUACCAAGAGAGAUUUCUGUGUCUUAAAUGAUUUGGUGCAUAUUUUGCAACAUUGAGAGAAAACUGCCCCCAUCUCAAGCAAGAAUGGCGUUGGUUUCUUCCAUUUCAAACUAAUCAGCAUUCUCCAGCAAUGACAAAGUGCCAGAGUGUAUAUAUGAAAGCUAAGGAAAGCACAAAACAAUGGUUCAGAGAUAAAUUGGCUAAUUUGUUUAACAGUUGGAGACUGUGCAAUGUACGACUUGGAGGAGUUUGUUUGGCAUAAUGAUUUUGUAGGUCUGUCAGCAUUUUGAUAUAUUGUGGAUUAGCCAGGUGAAUGAUCCUUGAAACAUCUCUUUCAGGUCUGGAGAAAGAGACAGAAUGCCCUUAAAGUGUGAAAUAACCUUAUACCUGAAUUACAGUUUUGUGAUAUAAAAUAAAGCUGAGUAUAAAAUAAAACCAAUCAAACACAGAAUUUGAUUGGAUUUGUUAUUCAUUGGUAUACAACAAUUUUUAUUCUUAUGUGUGCUUUAAGGGCUGUGUUUUGCUCUUAGGGUACUCAAUUUUAUGUUUCCUUUUGGCAUUCUUUGUGCAAAAAGAAGCAUGUGGUGGCUCUCAUUUAAAUUUCAAAAUUAUUAGUUUUAUCUUUAACAGAUUACUGAUUAUACAGAAGAUAUAAUUUAUUGGAAGAACUGCCAAAUACAUUUUGUCCUUCUAAAAAUAUGGAAAUUUAAAUAGUAGUCUGGAAAGUUACCAUAUGAUAAUUUUUAAUUGUGUGAUCUAGACAUGCCUUAGGUAACUGCAGAAAUAGCAAAUUAAAUGAUUAAUGAGCUUAUUAGUCAUAGUAAACAUACAGAUUCCUAAUUCUAUGACAGUGUACAUAUAUGAAAAUAAAUGAUGAAAAAAGAACUAUAAUAUUUUUAAAAAUAUGCUUUUAUUUAUAUUUCACAUAAUGUAAAGUUCUACAAAAUAAAGCUAGUAGGCAAGACCCCUCAGUGUAUACCUUUAAACCCAUAAAUUAAUUUUAUAUCAAUAAAAUAAAAUACUUUCUCUAGUUUUGGAGCUUCUGUAUUUCCUAUAGUUUUCUGACUGUCCAUUUUAUCCAUCUUAGAAGUAUUCACAUCCCUUCUAUGCAGGAUUUCUGCAUAGUUUUAAAUACUUUCAUUGCCUAAGGGUUUGGGUGUGUCAGCUUUUUUUGUUUUAAAAAUAUUUAACACUAAAACCUUAAAAUAAUGAAGCUACUUAUCAGACCACUGAGCCAAGAUCCUGGUAUUAAAAGAAAGUCUGGGUGCUUAAGAUAAAGGGACAGAGUAUUGGUAUCCCAGUUAUUUGGGAGCUUUAAGAUUGGAACAAGAUAUCACUGUCUUGUUUUCACUUAGAUCCUACUUACAAAGUGAGGGUUAUUAACAGAAUAAAGCCUUCCUUUAAAGCUUUAUAAUAAUCAUAUUUAUUAAUAAUGCUGUUGUGCAUACUUAUAGUAUGCAUAUAUUCAGCAUAUGUUGCAUGUCUUCAGAAUUACAUAAAAUGAAAUCCCUUUCAUUGCAACUUGCAAGUGAGAAAAGAUCCUUAGUGGCUCUGGUGGAAGAAAUAGUAUUUCUUCUUCUCAGGGUGUCUCCCUGCCUUGGCCCCUCCCUGAGCCCCAGGCUUUAAAAGUGAAAAUGUUUGAAACAUGAAACAUGUCUGUAGGAAGCAUCAGCAUGGCCAUAAGUGCAGUGAUUUUCAUAUAUGCCUCUGCCCAUUUCAAAUAUAUUUUUGACAUGAAUAAAUCUAACAGUAUACAGAAUAAUUCAUGUAAGACCCUAACGUGUACAUGUGAAAAAGCAUUUCUAUAUAAUGUGAGGAGCACUGGCCAUCAAUUAGGGAAAUAAAGGUCAUGUAAUAUUGCAAAUUUUCAAAAUAGAGCCCUGCAAGAUAACUGCAAUCAUACCAAAAACUAUUUGAGUAAAUGGAUUUUUAAAGUAAUUUUUGUUUAGAAGAGUUUAUAUUUCAGAAGCAGAAAAUGUCAAAUGAUAGUCUUUGUAAAUGGUGGUGCACCUUCUCUAUGCACAUCUGUCUUUUACAUCAGAAAGAGCUGUGGUCAUGCUAAAAUUAGAGAUAACUUUUUGAAUGACUUGGUCAAGCUGUGUGUAAAAUAUUUAACCAUAAGUCAAGUACAGUGUACUAUGUUUAAUAAAGUUACAUUUAAUGCAUUUAUUGCAUAUAUGAAUAUAUACAUGAAGAGGCUUUAUGUCUUCUGGUAUUUGAUUUUGAAUGUUUUUUAAGUCAGUGGUGCCUUUAGGCAAGAACUUUCGAAAUUAAUCAUUCUUUGUGUUUUCUGAUUUUUCAGGUAACAUGUACACUAUUUAGAAACCAUCAUAGUUUAUUCACCUUAAAAAAUUGAUUGUAUUAUUUAAAUAUAUCACUUAGAUGGGCAUUUCCUAUAAUUAGGAUAUUCCAAAUAGUUGCUGAAAUCAAUUGUGCCAUUGACCAAUGGAUGCACUUGGUUAGCCUUAAUUUUUUUAAAAAAAAAAAAAACAAAAACUUUCUUGAAUAUUUCAGUUUGUUCAUUUUAAGUUUGUGCUGCUGGUAUUUGGGAAGAAAAAUCAAUCAGUUAAGUGCUACCAGAAAGUGUACCAAUUUUUAUAAAAAUUAAGAAUGAUAUAAAUUUCACAAUCUAAAAUUUUAAUUUUGUGCAAUAUUUUCAUUUAAUGCAUGUGUAUUUGAGUAAUUGUAAGAUAAAUGAAUUUUUAAUUUUUUGAGAUGUAGCUUAAACUGUCUUCUUAAUCCAACAACUUACAUUCCGUUGUUGCUGCAUCCUUUUAUUUAAGGACUUGUUUUAAAAGUCUUUUUGUCACUCCUUGGAAAAUUCUUUUAUUAGUAGUAAAUUUUGCUUUUAGGAGCAUGGCUCCUGUAUUACAAGGGAAAAAAUAUGAAGAGCACAUUUUAGGAUUAUAAUUGUUAAAAGAUAAUGUGUGCAUAUCAUUGUACAGUAAGUGUCAACUGUGUGCCUAACUGUUCUAUCAAUACUUUCUUUCUUUAACAAAGAAGAAACAACAAUCAGAAUGUCAGUUAUUUUUAUUCAACUAAAAGGAUUAAAAAAUUUAUUUGGUUUGUGUUCUGUCCAUUAGAAAAUACUAAUAAAGUAUUAACAAACA